rnacentral:rRNA from 1 species
AGAGUUUGAUCAUGGCUCAGAUUGAACGCUGGCGGCAUGCCUUACACAUGCAAGUCGAACGGUAACAGGUCUUCGGAUGCUGACGAGUGGCGAACGGGUGAGUAAUACAUCGGAACGUGCCCGAUCGUGGGGGAUAACGGAGCGAAAGCUUUGCUAAUACCGCAUACGAUCUACGGAUGAAAGCAGGGGACCGCAAGGCCUUGCGCGGACGGAGCGGCCGAUGGCAGAUUAGGUAGUUGGUGGGAUAAAAGCUUACCAAGCCGACGAUCUGUAGCUGGUCUGAGAGAACGACCAGCCACACUGGGACUGAGACACGGCCCAGACUCCUACGGGAGGCAGCAGUGGGGAAUUUUGGACAAUGGGCGAAAGCCUGAUCCAGCCAUGCCGCGUGCAGGAUGAAGGCCUUCGGGUUGUAAACUGCUUUUGUACGGAACGAAAAGACUCCUUCUAAUAAAGGGGGUCCAUGACGGUACCGUAAGAAUAAGCACCGGCUAACUACGUGCCAGCAGCCGCGGUAAUACGUAGGGUGCAAGCGUUAAUCGGAAUUACUGGGCGUAAAGCGUGCGCAGGCGGUUAUAUAAGACAGAUGUGAAAUCCCCGGGCUCAACCUGGGAACUGCAUUUGUGACUGUAUAGCUAGAGUACGGUAGAGGGGGAUGGAAUUCCGCGUGUAGCAGUGAAAUGCGUAGAUAUGCGGAGGAACACCGAUGGCGAAGGCAAUCCCCUGGACCUGUACUGACGCUCAUGCACGAAAGCGUGGGGAGCAAACAGGAUUAGAUACCCCGGUAGUCC